GAUUUUUAUGACUGAAAAUAAAUUGUAUACUAUAAAUCUAUUGUUUAUUUACUGUUUUACUAAGAUACAUAAAUUAUACAUAUACAUAAAUUAAUAAAAAGUGAUAUCAGCCAUGAAAACAUUAAAACAAAACAUACAUAACUUUUGUAAUACAGUACAGACAAGAGCCCUGAUAUAAUUACAGAUUUUCUUGCACCCACCACACCUCAUGGAAGCCUAUUGUUACACUGUUUGCUUGGGCAUUUACCUUCUCCAGUUCACAGUUAGACAUUGUAGUCAGGAGACAUUAGAUGUUGCCAAUAUUGUCUGCCCAUUUCCCCUAUAAAACAGUGUCUGGCUACACACUGGACAUUUAGUCAAGGCUAAAAAUAUCUUGAUUGCAUACACCGAUUCAGCGACACACGGAACUGCAAAGCCGUGUCACAUUGCCCUGUCCAUAAAGAAUUUACAACAAUCAAAUCUAAACGUUCAUGAGACAUUUGGUUAAUGUUUGAACUUCAUCUUAAGUUAAUAAUUGCUUUUGUAGCUCGAAGGUAUGUAAUAAGCAACUGAGGGAGGAGCUCGAUUGAGGUGAAAACGGUUUAUUUCUAUUGAACAGCCGCAUUAGUAGGCAGCUCACUCCCCUCUACAGCUGAACACGGGAAGAGAAUAACAGGCAGUCUGGCAUCAGUCUUUCAGCUUUACCCGCUUUUAGCAACAGAAGUCACACAGGAAUGAUGUAAGAGUUAGAAAAUGACUACACACAGCAAAUUAUAACAAUUUUCCAUUUUGGGUGGACAACACAUUAACAUUACCCAGAAUCCUCACAUCUCAUCUCAACAGCCAUGGGCAACAAAACCAGACCGUCCCAGCUUGUGAAAGGGUGAGGAAAAUUGCAGUAGCCUGGACUGAUGUUAUCAAGUACGCUGCUGUUGGCAGAAUUACCGGACUUGAGUCGUCCCGUCUGCAGGAGAUCACACUCCCGAGUCGAACUCAUGAAAUGCGGAACUACAGAGGGUGCAAGCCCAAAAUCUGGGUCCUUUGUAUUGAGAAAUGUGCACAGACCUACGUCACCAGACUAUUUGCUUAAUCUUCUCAGAACUUCAGACCGCGAUGGAAACACAGACAGCAACAGGUUUUGGGAAAAAUUUUUGGGACAAAUUGUUC